UAUGGAGGAUGCAAGCGUUAUCCGGAAUGAUUGGGCGUAAAGCGUCCGCAGGUGGCUGUGUAAGUCUGCUGUUAAAGAGUGAGGCUCAACCUCAUAAAAGCAGUGGAAACUACACGGCUAGAGUGCGUUCGGGGCAGAGGGAAUUCCUGGUGUAGCGGUGAAGUGCGUAGAUAUCAGGAAGAACACCGGUGGCGAAAGCGCUCUGCUAGGCCGCAACUGACACUGAGGGACGAAAGCUAGGGGAGCGAAUGGG
rnacentral:rRNA from 1 species